rnacentral:rRNA from 1 species
UAGGGAAUCUUCGGCAAUGGGGGGAACCCUGACCGAGCAACGCCGCGUGAGUGAAGAAGGUUUUCGGAUCGUAAAGCUCUGAUGUUAAGGAAGAACGAGUGUGAGAAUGGAAAGUUCAUGCUGUGACGGUACUUAACCAGAAAGGGACGGCUAACUACGUGCCAGCAGCCGCGGUAAUACGUAGGUCCCGAGCGUUGUCCGGAUUUAUUGGGCGUAAAGCGAGCGCAGGCGGUUAGAAAAGUCUGAAGUGAAAGGCAGUGGCUCAACCAUUGUAGGCUUUGGAAACUGUUUAACUUGAGUGCAGAAGGGGAGAGUGGAAUUCCAUGUGUAGCGGUGAAAUGCGUAGAUAUAUGGAGGAACACCGGUGGCGAAAGCGGCUCUCUGGUCUGUAACUGACGCUGAGGCUCGAAAGCGUGGGGAGCGAACAGG